GGGAAUGAUAGUUGGGAAGAAAAC
rnacentral:piRNA from 1 species